rnacentral:rRNA from 1 species
GGAAUCUUCCACAAUGGGCGAAAGCCUGAUGGUGCAACGCCGCGUGUGUGAUGAAGGGUUUCGGCUCGUAAAACACUGUUGUAAGAGAAGAAUGACAUUGAGAGUAACUGUUCAAUGUGUGACGGUAUCUUACCAGAAAGGAACGGCUAAAUACGUGUCAG